rnacentral:rRNA from 1 species
AGAGUUUGAUCCUGGCUCAGGAUGAACGCUGGCGGCGUGCUUAACACAUGCAAGUCGAACGGACGAUGAAGAGCUUGCUUUUCAGAGUUAGUGGCGGACGGGUGAGUAACGCGUGGGUAACCUGCCUCAUACAGGGGGAUAGCAGCUGGAAACGGCUGAUAAAACCGCAUAAGCGCACAGCAUCGCAUGAUGCAGUGUGAAAAACUCCGGUGGUAUGAGAUGGACCCGCGUCUGAUUAGCUGGUUGGUGAGGUAACGGCCCACCAAGGCGACGAUCAGUAGCCGGCCUGAGAGGGUGACCGGCCACAUUGGGACUGAGACACGGCCCAAACUCCUACGGGAGGCAGCAGUGGGGAAUAUUGCACAAUGGGGGAAACCCUGAUGCAGCGACGCCGCGUGAAGGAAGAAGUAUCUCGGUAUGUAAACUUCUAUCAGCAGGGAAGAUAAUGACGGUACCUGACUAAGAAGCCCCGGCUAACUACGUGCCAGCCGCCGCGGUAAUAC